rnacentral:misc_RNA from 1 species
CAAGGCAGCUAAUAUUCUUCUUGAUCAUAAAUUUGAGGCAAAGGUUUCUGACUUUGGACUUGCCAAAAGUUUUUCUGAUGCUAGGUCUAUAAUUAGUCACACUUGCACCCAAGUGGUGGGAACUUUUGGGUAAGAUCAUAUUUCAUUGAUUAUUACAGUGCCAAAUCUUGUACUUUCUCACACCUAGUUGUCUAGUAAUGAAUUCCAAGUUAUU